GUCUACAGCCAUGCCGCCCUGAAUAAGCCUGGUGUCUGAUCUCGGAAGCUAAGCAAGGUCGGAUUAGUACUUGGAUGGGAGACCACCUAGGAAGACCAGGUGCUGUAGGCA
rnacentral:rRNA from 1 species